UACGGGGGGGGCUAGCGUUAAUCGGAAUAACUGGGCGUAAAGGGCACGCAGGCGGCUUUUUAAGUGAGGGGUGAAAUCCCCGGGCUUAACCUCGGAAUUGCAUUUGAUACUGGGAGGCUUGAGUACUUUAGAGGGGAGUGGAAUUCCACGUGUAGCGGUGAAAUGCGUAGAUAUGUGGAGGAAUACCGAAGGCGAAGGCAGCCCCUUGGGAAUGUAUUGACGCUGAUGUGCGAAAGCGUGGGGAGCAAACAGG
rnacentral:rRNA from 1 species